GUCCUAGCCGUAAACGUUGGAUACUAAAUAAUAUACAAAAUAUAUUAAUUAAAGCUAACGCGUUAAGUAUCCCGCCUGGGAAGUAUGCUCGCAAGAGUGAAACUCAAAGGAAUUGACGGGAGCCCCGCACAAGCGGUGGAGCAUGUGGUUUAAUUCGAUGCAACACGAAAAACCUUACCAGGGUUUGACAUGAAGAGAAAUUUUUUGAAAAAAAUGUGCUAUGGCCUCUUACACAGGUGGUGCAUGGCUGUCGU
rnacentral:rRNA from 1 species